rnacentral:lncRNA from 1 species
GACUCAGCCCGGCCGACACGGCGAGCUUCAUGUCGAGAAAGGGUUAUUACGCCCUAAACGUCAAGGUCGUGUGCAACGCGGAACUUCGCAUCCUUGUUGUGGACCCGCGGUUCCCUUGUUUGUGCCACGACUCUUGGGUGUGGCAGCAUAAUCCACUGCGUGCGCGCCUAGCCGCACAGCUGCAGCCUGGCGAGUAUCUGCUUUACUCAGGAUAUCCCCUCGAGCCAUGGCUGCUUGUUCUAGUACCUUGGCAGUCAUGCUGGCACCACCUCCGAAGGCCAGUACAACCGGGAGCACACAUC